GAAAUGCGAUAAGUAGUGUGAAUUGCAGAAUUCAGUGAAUCAUCGAAUCUUUAAACGCACAUUGCGCCCCUUGGUAUUCCAUGGGGCAUGCCUGUUCGAGCGUCAUUUGUACCCUCAAGCUCUGCUUGGUGUUGGGUGUUUGUCCCGUCUCCGCGCGUGGACUCGCCCCAAAGUGAUUGGCAGCCGGCGUACUGGUCCCGGAGCGCAGCACAUGUCGCGCAAACGAGUGCCUUGGUACGGCGGCGUCCAUAAGCCCCUCUCUCACGCUCUUGACCUCGGAUCAGGUAGGGAUACCCGCUGAACUUAAGC
rnacentral:misc_RNA from 1 species